rnacentral:lncRNA from 1 species
ACUUCAGGGCUCUGGGAAGACUUCUGAAGGGAUCGGGAGCACAAGUUGUGUUUUCCUCUGUCCUCUCAGUUGGUGACUGGGACCCACGCAAAAGGAAGAGGGUGGACACACUGAAUGAUCGGCUUAGCGAAUGGUGUCGUGCUCAGGGCUGUGGGUACUAUGGCUUGGGACACAGUCUUGAGAAAGGAGGAAUGCUGACGGUGGAUGGGAGCCGACUGACUAGAAGGGCCACAAAUAUUCUUGGGAACAAGUUGGCUGGGCUGGUUAGCAGGGCUUUACGAUAGAUAUGAUGGGGGAAGGGGUGUACUGGAUGACAGAGAAGCGCAUGGGAACGCUGUCACCCUGGGAGGUGGUAAGGGAAAACCCCAGACUUGUCCUGCAGGUAUUAGGGAGGUCUCGUCUGAUAAGGCAACGAGGCCAAUAGCCAAGCUGAACUGCCUCUAUACCAAUGCGCGCAGCAUGGGAAAUAAAUGGGAGGAGCUAGAAACCGUGGCGCAAUUUGGCAAGUGUGACCUAAUUGCUAUCACAGAAACAUGGUGGGAUGAAUCCCACAAUUGGAAUACCCUGAUUGAGGACUACAGGCUUUUCAGAAGGGAUAGACAGGCUAGGAGGGGUGGGGGAGUUGCCCUCUAUGUUAGGAAGUGGAUAAAUUGUGAAGAGCUGUGUCUGAGGAACAGCCACGAUCAAGUGGAGAGUUUGUGGGUAAAAAUCAAGGAUCGGUCCAGCAAAGGGCACCUAGUGGCUGGGGUCUGCUGCAGGCCACCUGAUCAGGAGGAGGCUGUGGAUGAGGCCUUCUUGCUUCAGCUGCAGGAGGUGUCGAGCUUGCAGGCUCUUGUCCUGAUGGGGGAUUUCAAGCACCUGGAUAUCUGCUGGGAUAGUGGCGUGGUGGGUGGCAGACAAUCCAGGAGAUUCCUGGAAUCUGUCGAGGACAACUUCCUGGUCCAGGUAAUAGAUGGACCCGUCUGAGGUGAAGCCUUACUGGACUUCGUGCUCACUAAUGAAGAGAAAAGGAUUAGAGACGUUAAGAUUGGAGGCAGCCUGGGCUGCAGUGACCAUGCCUUGGUGGAGUUUGUGAUCUUGAAGAAUGCGGGCCUGGCAAAAAACAGAGCUAGGACCCUGUGCUUUAGGAGAGCAAACUUCCUGCUUCUCAAGGAACUGCUGAGUGAGAUCCCCUGGGAAGCUGUCCUUAAGGGCA